GUGCCAGCAGCCGCGGUAAUACGUAGGUGGCAAGCGUUAUCCGGAAUUAUUGGGCGUAAAGCGCGCGUAGGCGGUUUUUUAAGUCUGAUGUGAAAGCCCACGGCUCAACCGUGGGGGGUCAUUGGAAACUGGAAAACUUGAGUGCAGAAGAGGAAAGUGGAAUUCCAUGUGUAGCGGUGAAAUGCGCAGAGAUAUGGAGGAACACCAGUGGCGAAGGCGACUUUCUGGUCUGUAACUGACGCUGAUGUGCGAAAGCGUGGGGAUCAAACAGGAUUAGAUAC
rnacentral:rRNA from 1 species